UACGUAGGGUGCGAGCGUUGUCCGGAAUUAUUGGGCGUAAAGAGCUUGUAGGCGGUUUGUCGCGUCUGCUGUGAAAAUCCGGGGCUCAACCCCGGACUUGCAGUGGGUACGGGCAGACUAGAGUGUGGUAGGGGAGACUGGAAUUCCUGGUGUAGCGGUGGAAUGCGCAGAUAUCAGGAGGAACACCGGUGGCGAAGGCGGGUCUCUGGGCCGACAUUGACGCUGAGGAGCGAAAGCGUGGGGAGCGAACAGG
rnacentral:rRNA from 1 species